CACACCGCCCGUCGCUACUACCGAUUGAAUGGCUCAGUGAGGCGUCCGGACUGGCCCAGAGAGGUGGGCAACUACCACUCAGGGCCGGAAAGUUCUCCAAACUCGGUCAUUUAGAGGAAGUAAAAGUCGUAACAAGGUCUCCGUUGGUGAACCAGCGGAGGGAUCAUUACCGAGUUUACAACUCCCAAACCCCUGUGAACAUACCUCUUGUUGCUUCGGCGGGAUCGCCCCAGCGCCCUCGGGCCUGGAACCAGGCGCCCGCCGGAGACCCCAAACUCUGGUUUCAAUGUGAUCUUCUGAGUCUCACAAACAAAUAAAUCAAAACUUUCAACAACGGAUCUCUUGGUUCUGGCAUCGAUGAAGAACGCAGCGAAAUGCGAUAAGUAAUGUGAAUUGCAGAAUUCAGUGAAUCAUCGAAUCUUUGAACGCACAUUGCGCCCGCUAGUACUCUAGCGGGCAUGCCUGUUCGAGCGUCAUUUCAACCCUCAAGCCCCCCCGGGGCUUGGUGCUGGGGAUCGGCCACUGCUUGCCCGGUGGCCGGCCCUGAAUUAUAGUGGCGGUCUCGCUGUAGCCUCCUCUGCGUAGUAGCACACCUCGCACUGGAACGCGGCGCGGCCACGCCGUAAAACCCCCCCCAACUUCUGAAAGGUUGACCUCGGAUCAGGUAGGAAUACCCGCUGAACUUAAGCAUAUCAAUAAGCGGAGGAAAAGAAACCAACAGGGAUUGCCCCAGUAACGGCGAGUGAAGCGGCAACAGCUCAAAUUUGAAAUCUGGCCCUCGCGGCCCGAGUUGUAAUUUGCAGAGGAUGCUUUUGGUGCGGUGCCUUCCGAGUUCCCUGGAACGGGACGCCAUAGAGGGUGAGAGCCCCGUCUGGUUGGACACCAAGCCUCUGUAAAGCUCCUUCGACGAGUCGAGUAGUUUGGGAAUGCUGCUCAAAAUGGGAGGUAUAUGUCUUCUAAAGCUAAAUAUUGGCCAGAGACCGAUAGCGCACAAGUAGAGUGAUCGAAAGAUGAAAAGCACUUUGAAAAGAGGGUUAAAUAGUACGUGAAAUUGUUGAAAGGGAAGCGUUUGUGACCAGACUUGGGCCCGGUCAAUCAUCCGGCGUUCUCGCCGGUGCACUUGGCCGGCCCAGGCCAGCAUCAGUUUGCUGCGGGGGAGAAAAGCGUCGGGAAUGUAGCUCCUCGGAGUGUUAUAGCCCCUCGCACAAUACCCUGCGGCGGACUGAGGUUCGCGCAUCUGCAAGGAUGCUGGCGUAAUGGUCAUCAACGACCCGUCUUGAAACACGGACCAAGGAGUCGUCUUCGUAUGCGAGUGUUCGGGUGUCAAACCCCUACGCGUAAUGAAAGUGAACGGAGGUGAGAGCUACGGCGCAUCAUCGACCGAUCCUGAAGUUCUCGGAUGGAUUUGAGUAAGAGCAUACGGGGCCGGACCCGAAAGAAGGUGAACUAUGCCUGUAUAGGGUGAAGCCAGAGGAAACUCUGGUGGAGGCUCGCAGCGGUUCUGACGUGCAAAUCGAUCGUCAAAUAUGGGCAUGGGGGCGAAAGACUAAUCGAC
rnacentral:rRNA from 1 species